rnacentral:lncRNA from 1 species
CACACCUUCGGUAAUGCACUAGCAAACAGAAGCCCGGAGAGGCUGAAGUUUUCCACGCAGGGCACCGUCGGGGAGACGCAGCCCGGGAGGACGGGAGGGUUGGGCUCGCUACCUCUGCACACGGGCGAGCCGGGACUCCGUCUCUCAUAGAAAAGUGGGUCCAUACGUGCCCUGCGCGGACUCCGACGCCCAAAGACACGCGCGCGCUGCGAUAAGCAAGUUACAAGGAUUCCACCCUCCAGUGCUCUCUACAACCUGGGGCUGAGGACGCUGAAGCCAAACUAAUUUUGCAAAUACACCUGCAUCCGGGUAGGGUGGAGAACAUCACAUUCUGAAUUGUACACGUCAACAAGAAAAUUUACAGCAUCGCAUCAUCAGAUUUAUUAAUGGAGAGCACCUAGUUUACUACCCCGGAGCUGAUGGUCUCUUGGGAGAAAGACCAGGCAUAAUGUAACAAUUCAUUGUGGUCAUUUCCUCUGUGUGAUGGCACUGGGGGUUAUUCUUCUGCAAGGAAAAUGAGAAGUACGAAGAUUUUAGAUGGGCAUAAGAAAGUAUAUAAAACCCUAAUCAGGAAUAGUUAAAGCUCUACAUCAGAUACCUCCUAUUAAUUCACAUGAGAUAAACAAAAACAUAAGAUUUUACAAAAUAAAGAAGUGGCGUGUCAGAUUGGCGUCUGCCUGGUGUCUGCCCACACUGGCAAGCUUCCUGAUUCCAGGCACUAAAUGAUCAGUUUCACUCAGAGGAGCCACCUUUCUCUGCUUCCCUGUGUGGUCAGACAGAAAUUAAAUGAAAUUAAAUGAAAAUUUUUAAAAAAAUAAGAAAAAAUAAGAAGCACAGUAAAUUGUUGUUUAGAAAAAAUAUUGAUGAUGCCUAAUCAAAAUACAAAAAAUAGCAUCUAGUACUAUAUCCUACUAUAUUAGUCAUAGUUCUAUGCUUUAUCACAUAUAAAAAUAAUAGCUAAUGUUUACUAAACAUUCACCACGUGCUAGCCACUGUUCUAAGGACAUUAUUAUGUGUUAACUCAUUCGUUCUUCACAUAAUCCACAAGGUAUGUGCUGUUAUUAUCCUCCCUGCUUUAUCUGGGGCACAAAGACACUAAUUGUCUUGUCUGAGAUCACUCAGCUAAGUGGAAGCUGAGGCCAGAGGGACCCAGGCAGGCGUCUGAAGAAGCCCUGUGCCCUUAGUACCUCCAAGCAGAAGAUGCGUGUUCUGAUUAAGAGACUUUAUGGUAGCUCACAGAUGUCCAAACGAGCUUUUAGACAUGACUAGCAGCUCCCUUUUCUUACUUUCUAGAACAAAUUAUACUUUAAUUAUCUAUAGAACAAAAUAACUUUAAAAUUUGACAUAAUUUGUCUAUUGUAUUAAUUUUUUCAUCUAAAGAUUAAUGGUUUCACUAAGUAUAACCUUUUGUGAAUAGAAACAAUAAAUGGCUUCUUUUGGUGGGUUUUUUUUUUUUGGAAUAGCAAGAAUAAGAUUACAACAAUGUUAUACUAAAAUGUAUAAAGGUUUUAAACUACUGAUAAAUGUCUAACGUUGGUAAUUUGAUCACAGCACAGCUUCAUUAUAGAAAUGUCAUCUUGGGUCACCUCUGGACCAACCUCAACACAUUAGAUGAUCAUGAUUCUAAAGUCAUAGUGAGCCACCGUUGGCAAUGGUCAGUAGCAGUUCGUUUGGAUCAAAAACAAUAGAGCUGGCCAUAAUUUUAGGUUUCUUGUUCAUUCAGAUCUGAUGUAAUAAGUUUAAGUUGUAUCUAAAAUCUAAAUGAGAGAAUUUGCAUGAGUUUUUAAGUGCCAAUUUUUUAAUGCAUCUCAUGCUAGAAAUUGAACCCAAAGUCUUGAAUAGGUUGCUCAAAAUGCUGUGCCAUUGAAUUACCCACAGAUACUAUCUGAUCUUACAAUAUUACUUUUACUUUCUGGUAACUCAUCAUGAGUUUUUUGAAAUUCCAAUCAUUUUCUCUUUAUUCAAGAAAAUAUGGUUCCCUCUAAAAACUUUAUUCUCAUGAUGGUCAUACCUAAGAAUUUAAAUGAGCUACAAUAAAUGCAGCAUCUGCCUUCAAAUGCGGUGCAGAGACCUUGUUCUUCCUAUUCAUUAACCGAUCACUUAACGUUUACACGGUGACAAAAAUACAGCAGGUGCCCAGUAAUAACUGAAUACCCCAGAGACUUUCUUUGUUAAGCACCACAUGAUCUCCUUUACUGCCUCUUAAAGUGCCAUCAUAUUGUGAUUCCUCAAGGAAUUACUCCAUUCCUUAGCUUAGAGUCAUCAUUUCCCUAAAAGCUAUUGGUUAGCCAAGCUCUUAGCACGUGAGCCCUUGGUGACAGGUCAGAUUCAAAUCAUAACAGUAGGUUUCUGCUUUUACAUCAAAGGCCACUGUUUAAUGAAGAUUUGUAAAAGGGUGAGGUGGUUGGCAGUGUCAUAUGAUGUGGAACAGACUCUGUGUUGACUUUUACUGGGGGAAAUGUGAGCCUCUGUUCUCCCCCUCUCCCAUAAGGUACCAAGCACAAACCAAAAGAAAUGAUUCCACACAACUCUAAUCAGUGAACCAAUAAAUCUAAUUGAGGUUACUUAUAGGAGCAUGGCUGAAAGAUUAUCUCCAGAAGGACGGGAAUCUUAUAAAAAGACAGCCACCAAAGGAAACUAUACUACCACAGAGGAGCUGUUGGUGGUUCCUGCCUUGUGAGCUUUCCUUCUGCUGCACAAGGGAAUGUCAACAGGCUCAAUCAGAGGGUGUCAUGUGACCAGCUCACCAUGCUCCUGCCUCCGUUCCUUCUGGGCCAUAGUGGACUGCAUCCUUAAAUUGUGAGCCAAAAGAAACGAAUGCUUCCUGUCUUUAGCUGCCUUCCUUUUCCUUUCUUUUCUUUUGACACUAUCUCGCUGCAUAGCCCUGGCUGGACUGUAAGUCACUAUGUAGAACAGGUUGUGCUAGAACUUACAGAGAUUCACCUGCCCCUGGCUCCUGAGUGCUGAGGUUGAAUUUGUGUGCCACCGUAUCUGUCCCUGUAGUGGGUUUGGUCAUGUGUUUUGUCACAGCAAAAAUAAAAACAGUUCCUAUGAUUAUUAUCGCAUUUCAAGAUUAGGAAUAAAAGCCUCACUGCCACUUCCUUAAGAAAGGAUGCAUCCACCUCCAGGACUGAUGUUAAUGAAUGCUUUUGGAGCAGGCAAGCUAUUGAGGGAGGAAGGAGAAGACUGGAGAUAGAGAUACCUCAGCAUCCUGGCACCACUCAGGAUGAAGUUGGAGAAACAGUUGCCAACAGAUCCCUGUAUUUCUGGGGAAGCUACUUCUCUAUCUCUCCAACUGUGCUACUCUACAUUUGGAAAGCAGGCAGUAGCAGCUAACAGGAGGGAGAAUACUUAAAAGAGCAUGGAUUUCCAUUUCAGAAGACCUGCCAGAGACAGGCUUCUCAGGAAACAGAAAGAACACAUUUGACCCUGCAAGAUUAAAGGACACUUCAGGAGAACCAUACUUCUGUAGAUAGACUUUCCCAGGCCGCACAAGUGCCCACCUCAGUGAUGAGAGACAUGUCAGAUGCCUGGCCUGACAGUCUUUGUUCAUCUGUAAAAUCUGAUAAUUAAACUGGUUUAGCAAAAGACAUAAUAUUCAUAAUUAGAAUGAGUCUGCAUUUCCUAGGCCUGAUGAAUUUUUUAGAACUACAUUAAGUGGCUAACUGAAAACAUGAAGAUCAAAGAAAAGGAUGAGUCAUGCUUCUUGAGGUAAAAGAGUGUCUGACAGAAUCUGUUGUCUCUGAAGACAUGAAAAUAAAGAAACAGGAACCAUAUGAUGCCUUUCUUAUUCUACUCUAAGAAAGCAAUGGAAGGCAUGAUGAAACAAUCUCUACAGAAACAUAAAUGUCAAAAUGUGAGCAUUUUUGCCUUUAUUUCAGUCUAAAAAUAAAUAAAUAAAAUGUCAAAGAGUCCUGUUUUCAGUUGAACUUCUCUGUACAGAUAUGACAAUGUACUGAGUACUGAAAAAUCUGUUCACAGAAUAUGACUGAAUAUUUUCUAUGCAAUGGUGUUAAGCAAAUUGCCAAAGUUCAUUUACUAUAAGAUCCUGGUUCAUAUUUUAGUAUCUCUGAAAAAAAUGGAUAAAGUCUAAAAUGAACAAUAUGUUCAAUUUACAGCAUGGUUUUCUUCACUCCACUUUAAAUGAUGGGACAAUCUGUAACAGUGCCUUCGAUUUGAUGAAGCAUCCGUUCAAAUAAAGAAAGUGCUCCGUGAGCUUUCCCAAUGCAGUCUAAACCCCAAACCUCUGUUUAGAGUCCCUGGGGCCUUCUAGAUGUCUUAACACUGGAGGGCUAACUAAAAAGACACUAAGGAAUUCUUCCAAGAAGAUCUCCUGCUGGGGACACGGGUGGCAAGCUCUGUCAGGGGAUGUUGGGAGACACAAUGAGCUGAAGUAUCUUGCUUCGCCUUUCAGUCUGCCUCAUUGAUUCACUCACCAAGCUCUAGAGAGUCUCGGUCCCUUCAUACUGGACUAGAGAUUGUCCCUAUGCUGGAAACCGGAAUGAGAUCCUUUUUUUUUUUCCCAAAAAUGUUCAGAAUAUUCCAAAUGUAUCCGAGUUUUGGUUGUAAAGAGGUAUCUUACACCUUUCAAAGAACUAGAAACUUUAAGACUCAUAUAAGGGAGAUGAAUUUUGCAAAAUGUUUAGUUAGCACCCCUACAACAUAAGUUCUUCAUUGAAUGAGUUAACAAUCUUAAGGGAACAAAGCAGACUCUUAGUAGUGUGAAAUAGCAGAAGUACACUGGUUUAUAUUUUUAAUUUUUCUUUAUUUAUUUGAAGGAGUGGGAAAUGCACUCAGAACCUCUUACACACUAGGCAAGUACUCUACCACCGUGUUAUAUCCCCAGACUCAAUAAUAUAUUGUUUUUCAAAUGGUGAACAUAUAUGUGCAUAUAUUUGUAUAUGUUACAUAUGUAUAAAAUAUUUCGAUGCAUUGGUGAAGCUUAGAAAGUUUAUCAUAUCUAUUACUUCUGCAAGAAAAUUACUGGAGUUUGCUAUUAUCUUUCUAAAUUUAGUCACAAUAAACAUGUACUUUAUCAUAUAUUAUUAUAUAAUUA